rnacentral:rRNA from 1 species
GUGCAGCAGGCGCGAAACCUCCGCAAUACACGAAAGUGUGACGGGGCCAUCCCGAGUGCCGUCCGCUGAGGACGGCUUUUCCCCAGUGUACACAGCUGGGGGAAUAAGGAGAGGGCAAGCCUGGUGUCAGCCGCCGCGGUAAUACCAGCUCUCCGAGUGGUGGGGACGCUUAUUGGGCCUAAAACAUCCGUAGCCGGCUGGGCAAGUCCUCCGUUAAAUCCAACGAUUCAAUCGUUGGGCUGCGGGGGAUACUGUCCAGCUUGGGGGCGGGAGAGGCCGACGGUAUUCCCGGGGUAGGGGUGAAAUCCUAUAAUCCCGGGAGGACCACCAGUGGCGAAGGCUGUCGGCUAGAACGCGCCCGACGGUGAGGGAUGAAAGCUGGGGGAGCGAACCGGAUUA